CGUCUUUGCGCGGAGAAUUUAACGGGGCUAAACCUGACACCGAAGCUUAGGCAAUGUAGUAAUACAUUGGGUAGGGGAGCGUUGUAUACGCGGAGAAACAGUAGCGUAAGCGGCUGUGGAGUGUAUAGAAGUGAGAAUGCCGGAAUGAGUAGCGCGAAUGCAGUGAGAAUCUGCAUGGCCGAAAGCCUCAGGUUUCUGGAGGAAGGUUCGUCCGCUCCAGGUUAGUCGGGAGCUAAGGUGAGGCCGGAAGGCGUAGCCGAUGCACAGACGGUAGAGAUUCCGUCACCACCAAAAGAGUUAAGCACAGGGACACAUAUGAAGUCUCAGAGCCGGGUGUUGGUUCCGGUAGAGAUCGAGGGAAGUUAGUACCGAAGUCUGAGAUGGAAGAUGGCGAGAAAAGCUGUGUGUAUUUCUGAGGUGCCCGUACCGCAAACCGACACAGGUAGGUAGGAAGAAGAUUCUAAGGCCAACGGGAGAAGGGUUGUUAAGGAACUCGGCAAAUUGACCCCGUAACUUCGGGAGAAGGGGUGCUCCAGAGAUGGAGCCGCAGAGAAUCGGCCCAAGCAACUGUUUACCAAAAACACAGGUUUGUGCUAAAUCGAAAGAUGACGUAUACGAGCUGACGCCUGCCCGGUGCUGGAAGGUUAAGAGGAGAUGUGCAAGCAUUGAAUCGAAGCCCCAGUGAACGGCGGCCGUAACUAUAACGGUCCUAAGGUAGCGAAAUUCCUUGUCAGGUAAGUUCUGACCCGCAUGAAAGGCGUAAUGAUUUGGGCACUGUCUCAACAGCCCGCCCGGCGAAAUUGUAGUACCGGUGAAGAUGCCGGUUACCCGCGACAAGACGGAAAGACCCCAUGGAGCUUUACUGUAGCCUAAUAUUGGGUUUCGAUGUUGCAUGCACAGGAUAGAUGGGACUCUGGGAAACCAAGGCUUUGGCUUUGGCGGAGAGGCCGUUGGGAUACCAUCCUUGCGAUAUUGGAAUUCUAACCUGCGGCUCUGAAUCGAGUCGGGGGACAUUGUUAGGUGGGCAGUUUGACUGGGGCGGUCGCCUCCUAAAGAGUAACGGAGGCGUUCAAAGGUUCGCUCAGCUUGAACGGAAAUCAAGCAAAAGAGUGCAAACGCAGAAGCGAGCCUAACUGCGAGACUGACGGGUCGAGCAGUAACGAAAGUUGGAGUUAGUGAUCCGGUGGUAUGUGAGUGGAAAUGCCAUCGCUCAACGGAUAAAA
rnacentral:rRNA from 1 species